UAUUGCUUACACCAAUAUAAUGCCUGUUAAACUCUGGCUGUCUCAAGCUGAAAAUCUAGCCCCCCUAACCCCCACACCUCAAUUAAAAACUAAAAUAUUUUUAUAACAGAGUAAAGACGAUUGAAAAACUAGCAAGAGCAAUAAAAAUGUACCGCAAGGGAUAAUUGAAAUAGAAAUGAAACAAAUCUAAAGCCUUAAAAAGUAGAGCUCAUCUCUCGUACCUUUUGCAUCAUGGUUUAACUAGUUUAAUUAAGCAAAACGACUUAAAGUUUAACUCCCCGAAACUAAGUGAGCUACUUCAGGACAGCCCAAGGGCCAACCCCCCGACGUUGUAAAGUCGCGGGAAGAUCCUGAAGUAGAGGUGAUAUACCUAACGAACUUCUAAAAACAUAAAUUUGUCUUUAGAGUAAUUCAACCAAGGAACAGCUUGUUUGAAUCAGGACACAACCUUAACCCCAGGAUAAUGAACCCCCGAAUACAACUAAGUGGGCCUAAAAGCAGCCAUCUAACAAAAGCGUUAAAGCUUUACUGUUUUCCAAAAAAUACCUUACAUUUUACAGACUCCUUCAAUAGUACUGAGUACAUCUAUAUUUAUAGAAGAUUUUAUGUUAAAACUAGUAACAAGAAGUCAUCCUUCUCCUCAAUGCAAGUAUACCCCAGCAAGGACCUCCCACUGGAAAUUAACACCCCCCCCCCAAGUAGCAACUUCACAAGAAAAACCUCCUUGACAUCCUGUUAACCUAACACAAGAGCAUCCCAGGAAAGAUUAAAAGAAAAAGAAGGAACUCGGCAAACUUCUGCCCCGCCUGUUUACCAAAAACAUCGCCUCUUGAGUUAUAUAAGAGGUCCAGCCUGCCCAGUGACUUUUGUUUAACGGCCGCGGUAUCCUAACCGUGCGAAGGUAGCGUAAUCACUUGUUCUUUAAAUAAGGACUAGUAUGAAAGGCAUCACGAGGGCCAAGCUGUCUCCUUUUUUUAAUCCGUGAAACUAAUCUUCCCGUGAAGAAGCGGGAAUGUUUUUAUAAGACGAGAAGACCCUAUGGAGCUUUAAAUGAACACCACCUACAUUUUAUUUUUCAAUUCCAGAAAAUCAACAAAUACAAUGACCCCCUGGCUGUAAAUUUUAGGUUGGGGCGACCGCGGAGAAAAACCUAUCCUCCUCAUUGUUAAAGAAUUUAUCCUAAACAAAAAGCAACAACUUUAUGUAUCAAUAAAAUUGACAUCUAUUGACCCAUUAUUUGAUCAACGAACCAAGUUACCCUAGGGAUAACAGCGCCAUCCACUUUAAGAGCUCAUAUCGACAAGUGGGCUUACGACCUCGAUGUUGGAUCAGGGUAUCCAAGUGGUGCAGCCGCUACUUAAGGUUCGUUUG
rnacentral:rRNA from 1 species